UAAUAAGUGUUUUAUGGCACUUUUUAAAUCCAUAUCCACCUUGUGUGCAAUGUCAGUCGAUCUUCUUCGUGGAGAUCGGCCAAACAUCAACCUUUAUCUUUUAACUCUUUGUCUGAAAAAUAUUAUGAAUAAACAAUUCAAAAUA
rnacentral:misc_RNA from 1 species